GAAAUUCUCUACUAUCCAACUUUUUUCACGAAGAGCUGGACAAGUAGGUGCCUGGGCUUGCUUGCGGUUUGGUUACAGACACACGCUCGCCUUAAAUGCAUUAGCUGGACUUCAGUAGAGUUGUUAAGUAACAUUGAAAACUCUUGUCAUCGAAGUCUGCUUUCGAACCUGUCUCCUCUUCUGAGGUAGAUGUAUAUUUUUCAA
rnacentral:misc_RNA from 1 species